rnacentral:rRNA from 1 species
GAUGAACGCUAGCGACAGGCCUAACACAUGCAAGUCGAGGGGCAGCGGGAUUGAAGCUUGCUUUAAUUGCCGGCGACCGGCGCACGGGUGCGUAACAGGUGUGCAAUCUGUCCAUAGUCGGGGGAUAGCCCAGCGAAAGCUGAAUUAACACUCCAUGUGUCACGAAGCCGCAUGACUUUGUGAUGAAACGUAAGGACUAUGGGUGAGCACGCUUCUGAUUAGGUAGUUGGUGGGGUAACGGCCCACCAAGCCGACGAUCAGUAGGGGUUCUGAGAGGAAGGUCCCCCACAUUGGAACUGAGACACGGUCCAAACUCC